GACGAACGCUGGCGGCGUGCUUAACACAUGCAAGUCGUACGAUGACCCGGCUCUUCGGAGCUGGUGAUUAGUGGCGAACGGGUGAGUAACACGUGGGUGACCUGCCCUGCACUCUGGGAUAAGCCCGGGAAACUGGGUCUAAUACUGGAUACGACCAGUGGCCGUAUGGUCUGCUGGUGGAAAGCCCUUCGGGGUGGUGUGGGAUGGGCCCGCGGCCUAUCAGCUUGUUGGUGGGGUGAUGGCCUACCAAGGCGGCGACGGGUAGCCGGCCUGAGAGGGUGUACGGACUCACAUGGACUGAGACACGGCACAGAGUCAUAGAGGGGGCAGAAGUGGGGAAUAUAGCACCAGGGGCGAAAGCCUGAUGCAGCGACGCAGCGUCAGCGAUGACGUCCUUCGGGUUGUAAACAUCUUUCGGCAGGGAACAAGACUGGGGGUUUUCAUCUGGGUGAGGGUACCUGCGGAAGAAGCACCGGCUAACUACGUG
rnacentral:rRNA from 1 species